GACGAACCGUGCGAACGUUGUUCGGAAUCACUGGGCUUAAAGGGCGCGUAGGCGCUUGCCAAGUCGGGGGUGAAAUCCGGCAGCUUAACUGUCGAAGUGCCUUCGAUACUGGCAAGCUCGAGGGAGGUAGGGGUCUGCGGAACUUCUGGUGGAGCGGUGAAAUGCGUUGAUAUCAGAAGGAACGCCGGUGGCGAAAGCGGCGGACUGGACCUCUUCUGACGCUGAGGCGCGAAAGCUAGGGGAGCAAACGGG
rnacentral:rRNA from 1 species